rnacentral:pre_miRNA from 1 species
AAACUACUCCCUCAGAUCCUAAAUUAUUGUCAAAAUAUUACAUGUAUCUAGACGCUUGUUAGGAAUAGAUACAUCCAUAUUUGGACAAAUUUGAGUCAAGAAUUUAGGAUCAGAGGGAGUAGAAA